rnacentral:lncRNA from 1 species
AUGGGCAACCGUAGCCACUCAGCCCCUCACCAGGCGCUGUGCUGCCCUACUGACCCCAGAAAAUUUGGCACCAAACCUUUUGUCACCAACAAGCUCACUUUAGUUGCUUUAUUUAAUUUCAUUUCACUUUGCAAGAUACCAAAAAAGACCCAAAAAACAAAACAAACAAAAAAACCCCAAAAAAACAAAAAACCCUGGGAUGGAGCCAGUGCAUAUGGCAAGCUGCCUGGCAUCCCCUCUGGCAUGCAGUGGCUCCAGGGAGCCUUUGGAUGCACCUUCCUGAGUAGCUGGGGCAGGCAGGGAGAGCACCAGGGUUUUCCCCCCUGUUUACUGGCUGUAGUAGUAAUCCUGGCCAUACACAUCAUAUCCAUGCCCUUUGUAGUAGCCGUACUCAUCCUCGUAGGCCCGGUAGCUGUCCCCACGUGCAUAUUCAUCCUGUUCCUCGUACCCACCCUCGGUGGUGCCCGCAUCCCAUCGGUUGUUGUCCCUGGCUGUUACAUCGUACUCCCACAGCUCCCCAGCUGUGGUGGCAUCUGUGGUGACAUCUGUGGGUCCCCCGUCAUCCAUAGUGGUUGCCUGGGUCAGACCCUCUUUGUUGGUGGAGCUUGCAAUGGUGGUGGCUUCAGUUUCCUCCUUCUCCUCCUCCUCCUCCUCUUCCUCUUCUUCUUCUUCCUCCUCUUCCUCCUCUUCCUCAGCUUCACCAGUGCCCUCCUCAGCCACCACAGUGCCAUUGCCAUUAGGUCCAAUACCCUCUGUGGUAUUUGUGCUUGUGCCAUUGACACCAUUCUCAUUCUCAUCUACUUCUUCCUCUUCUUCCUCCUCUUCUUCCUCAUUCUCAUCACUGUCUUCAUUUUCAGAGUCUUCCCCCUUGCUGGCAGUCCUCUGCCUGAUCCCUUUCAGGGUCCCUUGACAGCCCUUGCCCUUGCAGAGGAAAGACCACUCAAUAUUACUUGGAUGUUAGGAGACUGCAGCUCCAAGUGGAAAGGGACAAGUAUGGGCACAGCUGAGUAUCCCCCCACACCUUGCAUGGCAGGACUGUCUUUUUGGGGUACCCUUUCCAAACCCAAGUUAAUGCCCAGAGCUUGGUCCAGCUAUGGCUAUUUCGACAGCAGCCCCCCAAGCAGAAACAGGGUGCAGGGCAUCCCAUGGGUGCAGGCAAACAUGCAGUGA